rnacentral:rRNA from 1 species
GCAGCAGCGGGGAAUUUUGGACAAUGGGCGCAAGCCUGAUCCAGCAAUGCCGCGUGCAGGAUGAAGGCCUUCGGGUUGUAAACUGCUUUUGUACGGAACGAAAAGCCCUGGGUUAAUACCCUGGGGUCAUGACGGUACCGUAAGAAUAAGCACCGGCUAACUACGUG